rfam:Otolemur garnettii contig094882, whole genome shotgun sequence.
GAACAGGCCCUGCUCAGGGCCACAAUGAAAUGCAAAUGAUUCCUUU